rnacentral:rRNA from 1 species
GACGAACGCUGGCGGCGUGCUUAACACAUGCAAGUCGAGCGGAAAGGCCCUUUCGGGGGUACUCGAGCGGCGAACGGGGGAGUAACACGUGAGUAAUCUGCCCCUGGCUUUGGGAUAACCACCGGAAACGGUGAUUAAUGCCGGAUACGACCACUUCUCGCAUGGGAUGGUGGUGGAAAGUUUUUCGGCCAGGGAUGUGCUCGCGGCCUAUCAGCUUGAUGGUGAGGUAAUGGCUCACCAUGGCUUCGACGGGUAGCCGGCCUGAGAGGGUGACCGGUCACACUGGGACUGAGACACGGCCCAGACUCCUACGGGAGGCAGCAGUGGGGAAUAUUGGACAAUGGGCGGAAGCCUGAUCCAGCAACGCCGCGUGAGGGAUGACGGCCUUCGGGUUGUAAACCUCUUUCAGCAGGGACGAAGCGCAAGUGACGGUACCUGCAGAAGAAGCACCGGCCAACUACGUGCCAGCAGCCGCAGUAA